AUUGAACGCUGGCGGCAGGCCUAACACAUGCAAGUCGAGCGGAUGAAGGUAUCUUGCUCCUGGAUUCAGCGGCGGACGGGUGAGUAAUGCCUAGGAAUCUGCCUGGUAGUGGGGGAUAACGUCCGGAAACGGGCGCUAAUACCGCAUACGUUCUGCGGGAGAAAUUUGGGGAUCUUCGGACCUCACGCUAUCAGAUGCUCCUAGUUCGGGGUAGCUAGUUGGUGGGGGAACGGCCUACCAAGGCGAUGAUCCGUAACUGUUCUGAGAGGAUGAUCAGGCACAGUGGAACUGAGACUGGGUCAAGACUCAUACGGGAGGGAGAAGUAGGGAAGAGUGAAAAAGGGGAGAAAGCGUGAUCCAGACAUGGCGAGUGUGUGAAGAAGGUGAUGGGAUUGGAAAGCACUUUAAGUUGGGAGGAAGGGGAGGAAGUUAAUACCGUACUGUGGUGACGGUACCAACAGAAUAAGCACCGGCUAACUUCGUG
rnacentral:rRNA from 1 species